UACGUAGGGUGCGAGCGUUAAUCGGAAUUCUGGGCGUAAAGCGUGCGCAGGCGGUUUUGUAAGUCUGUCGUGAAAUCCCCGGGCUCAACCUGGGAAUUGCGAUGGAGACUGCAAGGCUAGAAUCUGGCAGAGGGGGGUAGAAUUCCACGUGUAGCAGUGAAAUGCGUAGAGAUGUGGAGGAACACCGAUGGCGAAGGCAGCCCCCUGGGUCAAGAUUGACGCUCAUGCACGAAAGCGUGGGGAGCAAACAGG
rnacentral:rRNA from 1 species